GAUGAACGCUGGCGGCGUGCCUAAUACAUGCAAGUCGAGCGAACAGACGAGGAGCUUGCUCCUCUGACGUUAGCGGCGGACGGGUGAGUAACACGUGGAUAACCUACCUAUAAGACUGGGAUAACUUCGGGAAACCGGAGCUAAUACCGGAUAAUAUAUUGAACCGCAUGGUUCAAUAGUGAAAGACGGUUUUGCUGUCACUUAUAGAUGGAUCCGCGCCGCAUUAGCUAGUUGGUAAGUUAACGGCUUACUAAGGCAACGAGGCGUAGCCCACCUGAGAGGGUGAUCGGCCGCACUGUAACUGAGACACGGUCCACACGCCUUCGGGAAGCACCAGGACGGAAUCGGCCGCCAGGGGCGGAAGACUGACGGAGCAACGCCGCGUGAGUGAUGAAGGACUUCGGAUCGGUGAACUCUGUUAUUGGGGAAUAACAAAUGUUUAAGUAACUAUGCACGUCUUGACGGUACCUAAUCAGAAAGCCACGGCUAACUACGUG
rnacentral:rRNA from 1 species